rnacentral:tRNA from 1 species
UAAGAAGCGAAUAAUUGCGUUUAGUUUCGACCUAAUUUCUGGGGGAANCCCCCUUAU